GCACUGCUGAGGAGUCCCAUAAUAGAAAGAAACAGCCGUCCAGUAC
rnacentral:hammerhead_ribozyme from 1 species